rnacentral:tRNA from 2 species
GGGAACGUAGCUCAAUUGGUUAGAGCACCCACCUUAUAAGUGGGAGGUUCUGGGUUCAAUCCCCAGCGUUCCUA